rnacentral:rRNA from 1 species
CCUACGGGAGGCAGCAGUGAGGAAUAUUGGUCAAUGGACGAGAGUCUGAACCAGCCAAGUAGCGUGAAGGAUGACUGCCCUAUGGGUUGUAAACUUCUUUUAUAUGGGAAUAAAACAGGGUAUGCAUACCCUCUUGUAUGUACCAUAUGAAUAAGGAUCGGCUAACUCCGUGCCAGCAGCCGCGGUAAUACGGAGGAUCCGUGCGUUAUCCGGAUUUAUUGGGUUUAAAGGGAGCGUAGGUGGAUUGUUAAGUCAGUUGUGAAAGUUUGCGGCUCAACCGUAAAAUUGCAGUUGAAACUGGCAGUCUUGAGUGCAGUAGAGGUGGGCGGAAUUCGUGGUGUAGCGGUGAAAUGCUUAGAUAUAACGAAGAACUCCGAUUGCGAAGGCAGCUCACUGGACUGCAACUGACACUGAUGCUCGAAAGUGUGGGUAGCAAACAGGAUUAGAUACCCGAGUAGUC